AAAGACCUUAUGCUUUUGGAGCGGCCGAUGUCUGAUUAGCUAGUUGGUAAGGUAAUGGCUUACCAAGGCAACGGUCAGUAGUUGGUCUGAGAGGACGACCAGCCACACUGGGACUGAGACACGGCCCAGACUCCUACGGGAGGCAGCAGUGGGGAAUUUUGGACAAUGGGCGCAAGCCUGAUCCAGCAAUGCCGCGUGAGUGAAGAAGGCCUUCGGGUUGUAAAGCUCUUUCAGUUGAGAAGAAAAGAUUGUGACUAAUAAUUGCAAUUCAUGACGGUAUCAACAGAAGAAGCACCGGCUAACUACGUGCCAGCAGCCGCGGUAAUACGUAGGGUGCGAGCGUUAAUCGGAAUUACUGGGCGUAAAGGGUGCGCAGGCGGCUUUGUAAGUCAGAUGUGAAAUCCCCGGGCUUAACCUGGGAACUGCGUUUGAAA
rnacentral:rRNA from 1 species